UUGGAGGGCAAGUCUGGUGCCAGCAGCCGCGGUGAUUCCAGUUCCAAUAGCGUAUAUUAAAGUUGUUGCAGUUAAAAAGCUCGUAGUUGAAUUUCGGGGUUAGUAGGUUGGUCAUGCCUCUGGUAUGUACUGGUCUCACUGAUUCCUCCUUCCUGAUGAGCCGUAAUGCCAUUAAUUUGGUGUUGCGGGGAAUUUGGACUGUUACUUUGAAAAAAUUAGAGUGUUUAAAGCAAGCUAACGCUUGAAUACAUUAGCAUGGAAUAAUGAGAUAGGACGUUCGAUCCUAUUUUGUUGGUUUCUAGGAUUGACGUAAUGAUUAAUGGGGAUAGUUGGGGGCAUUAGUAUUCAAUUGUCAGAGGUGAAAUUCUUGGAUUUAUUGAAGACUAACUACUGCGAAAGCAUUUGCCAAGGAUGUUUUCAUUAAUCAAGAACGAAAGUUAGGGGAUCGAAGACGAUCAGAUACCGUCGUAGUCUUAACCAUAAACUAUGCCGACUAGGGAUCGGAUGAUGUUAAUUUUUUAAUGACUCAUUCGGCGCCUUACGGGAAACCAAAGUGUUUGGGUUC
rnacentral:rRNA from 1 species